rnacentral:rRNA from 1 species
UACGGGGGGAGCAAGCGUUGUUCGGAUUUACUGGGCGUAAAGGGCGCGUAGGCGGCCACCGCAAGUCGACUGUGAAAUCUCCGGGCUUAACCCGGAAAGGUCAGCCGAUACUGCGGGGCUAGAGUGCAGAAGGGGCAACUGGAAUUCUCGGUGUAGCGGUGAAAUGCGUAGAUAUCUGGAGGAACACCGGUGGCGAAGGCGGCAUCCUGGACCAACAUUGACGCUGAGGAGCGAAAGCUAGGGGAGCAAACGGG